rnacentral:rRNA from 1 species
AUUGAACGCUGGCGGCAGGCCUAACACAUGCAAGUCGAGCGGAUGAAAGGGGCUUGCUCCUGGAUUCAGCGGCGGACGGGUGAGUAAUACGCAGGAAUCUACCUAGUAGUGGGGGAUAACGUUUCGAAAGGGGACGCUAAUACCGCAUACGUUCUGAGGAAGAAAGCAGGGGAGUCGCAAGACCUUGCGCUAUUAGAUGAGCUUGCGUCCGAUUAGCUAGUUGGUGGGGUAAAGGCCUACCAAGGCGACGAUCGGUAACUGGUCUGAGAGGAUGAUCAGUCACACUGGAACUGAGACACGGUCCAGACUCCUACGGGAGGCAGCAGUGGGGGAAUAUUGGACAAUGGGGGCGAACCCUGAUCCAGCCAUGCCGCGUGUGUGAAGAAGGCCUCGGUUGUAAG